GCCAGGCAUGGUGGCGUGUGCCUGUAAUCCCAGCUACUCAGGAGGCUGAGGCAGGAGAAUCGCUUGAAUCCAGGAGGCAGAGAUUGCAGUGAGCCAAGAUGGCGCCACUGCAUUCCAGCCUGGCCAACAGAGUGAGACUUUGUCUCAA
ensembl:misc_RNA Metazoa_SRP Metazoan signal recognition particle RNA